rnacentral:rRNA from 1 species
UACAGAGGGUGCAAGCGUUAAUCGGAAUUACUGGGCGUAAAGCGUGCGUAGACGGUUAUGUAAGUCAGGUGUGAAAGCCCCGGGCUCAACCUGGGAAUUGCAUUUGAGACUGCAUAGCUAGGGUGCGGAAGAGGGAAGCGGAAUUUCCGGUGUAGCGGUGAAAUGCGUAGAUAUCAGGAAGAACACCCGUGGCGAAAGCGGCUCUCUGGAACGGUACUGACGCUGAGACGCGAAAGCGUGGGGAGCGAACAGG